UACGUAGGGUGCGAGCGUUAAUCGGAAUUACUGGGCGUAAAGCGUGCGCAGGCGGUGAUGUAAGACAGUUGUGAAAUCCCCGGGCUCAACCUGGGAACUGCAUCUGUGACUGCAUCGCUGGAGUGCGGCAGAGGGGGAUGGAAUUCCGCGUGUAGCAGUGAAAUGCGUAGAUAUGCGGAGGAACACCGAUGGCGAAGGCAAUCCCCUGGGCCUGCACUGACGCUCAUGCACGAAAGCGUGGGGAGCAACAGG
rnacentral:rRNA from 1 species